rnacentral:rRNA from 1 species
UGGGGAAUAUUGCACAAUGGGGGAAACCCUGAUGCAGCGACGCCGCGUGAGCGAAGAAGGCUUUCGAGUCGUAAAGCUCUGUCCUAUGAGAAGAUAAUGACGGUAUCAUAGGAGGAAGCCCUGGCUAAAUACGUGCCAGCAGCCGCGGUAAUACGUAUGGGGCGAGCGUUGUCCGGAAUUAUUGGGCGUAAAGGGUACGUAGGUGGUCUUUCAAGUCGGUGGUUAAAGGCUACGGCUCAACCGUAGUUAGCCUCCGAAACUGGAAGACUUGAGUGCAGGAGAGGAAAGUGGAAUUCCCAGUGUAGCGGUGAAAUGCGUAGAUAUUGGGAGGAACACCAGUAGCGAAGGCGGCUUUCUGGACUGCAACUGACACUGAGGCACGAAAGCGUGGGUAGCAAACAGG